rnacentral:rRNA from 1 species
UCCUACGGGGGGCUGCAGUGGGGAAUAUUGCGCAAUGGGGGAAACCCUGACGCAGCAACGCCGCGUGGAGGAAGAAGGUCUUCGGAUCGUAAACUCUUGUCUUUAGGGACGAAAGAUGACGGUACCUAAGGAGGAAGCCACGGCUAACUACGUGCCAGCAGCCGCGGUAAUACGUAGGUGGCGAGCGUUGUCCGGAAUUACUGGGUGUAAAGGGCGUGUAGGCGGGUAAGCAAGUCAGAUGUGAAAUACCGGGGCUCAACCCCGGGGCUGCAUUUGAAACUGCAUAUCUUGAGUGCAGGAGAGGGAAGCGGAAUUCCUAGUGUAGCGGUGAAAUGCGUAGAUAUUAGGAGGAACACCAGUGGCGAAGGCGGCUUCCUGGACUGUAACUGACGCUGAGGCGCGAAAGCGUGGGGAGCGAACAGGAUUAGAUACCCUGGUAGUCC